rnacentral:rRNA from 1 species
GAUGAACGUUGGCGGCGUGCCUAAUACAUGCAAGUCGAACGAAGACUGUAGUAAUACUGUCUUAGUGGCGAACGGGUGAGUAACGCGUGGGUGACCUGCCCCGAAGUGUGGGAUAACAGUCCGAAAGGAUUGCUAAUACUGCAUAAUAUCCAAGAGAUUAGAUGCUUUUGGAUUAAAGGAGUAAUUCGCUUCGGGAGGGGCCCGCGUCCCAUCAGCUAGUUGGUAAGGUAAUGGCUUACCAAGGCGAUGACGGGUAGGGGACCUGAGAGGGUGGCCCCCCACAAUGGAACUGAAACACGGUCCAUACACCUACGGGUGGCAGCAGUAGGGAAUAUUAGUAAUGGGCGAAAGCCUGAACUAGCAACGCCGCGUGUGCGAAGAAGGCCUUCGGGUCGUAAAGCACUUUUUGAGAGGAUGAGGAAGGACGGUACUCUCAGAAUAAGCCUCGGCUAACUACGUG